rnacentral:rRNA from 1 species
AUUGAACGCUGGCGGCAGGCCUAACACAUGCAAGUCGGACGAGUGGCGGACGGGUGAGUAAUGUAUGGGGAACUGCCUGAUGGAGGGGGAUAACUACUGGAAACGGUAGCUAAUACCGCAUACCAUCAGAUGCACCCAGAUGGGAUUAGCUUGUAGGUGGGGUAACGGCGCACCAAGGCGACGAUCCCUAGCUGGUCUGAGAGGAUGAGCAGCCACACUUGAACUGAGACACGGGCCAGACUGCUACGGGAGGCAGCAGUGGGGAAUAUUUGACAAUGGGCGCAAGCCUGAUUCAGCCAUCGCGCGUGUAGGAAGAAGGCCUUCGGGUUGUAAAGUACUUUCAGGCGGGAGGCGUUACCGACAGAAGAAGCACCGGCUAACUCCGUGCCAGCAGCCGCGGUAAUUC